rnacentral:rRNA from 1 species
UACAGAGGUCCCGAGCGUUGUUCGGAUUCACUGGGCGUAAAGGGUGCGUAGGUGGCAUAGAAAGUUUGAUGUGAAAGCUCAGGGCUUAACCCUGAAAUGGCAUUGAAUACUGCUGUGCUGGAGGUUUGGAGGGGGGACUGGAAUUCUUGGUGUAGCAGUGAAAUGCGUAGAUAUCAAGAGGAACACCAGUGGCGAAGGCGAGUCCCUGGACAACACCUGACACUGAGGCACGAAAGCCGGGGGAGCAAACAGG